rnacentral:rRNA from 1 species
UCAGAUUGAACGCUGGCGGCAGGCCUAACACAUGCAAGUCGAGCGGUAACAGAAAGUAGCUUGCUACUUUGCUGACGAGCGGCGGACGGGUGAGUAAUGCUUGGGAACAUGCCUUGAGGUGGGGGACAACAGUUGGAAACGACUGCUAAUACCGCAUAAUGUCUACGGACCAAAGGGGGCUUCGGCUCUCGCCUUUAGAUUGGCCCAAGUGGGAUUAGCUAGUUGGUGAGGUAAUGGCUCACCAAGGCGACGAUCCCUAGCUGGUUUGAGAGGAUGAUCAGCCACACUGGGACUGAGACACGGCCCAGACUCCUACGGGAGGCAGCAGUGGGGAAUAUUGCACAAUGGGCGCAAGCCUGAUGCAGCCAUGCCGCGUGUGUGAAGAAGGCCUUCGGGUUGUAAAGCACUUUCAGUCAGGAGGAAAGGUUAGUAGUUAAUACCUGCUAGCUGUGACGUUACUGACAGAAGAAGCACCGGCUAACUCCGUGCCAGCAGCCGCGGUAAUACGGAGGGUGCGAGCGUUAAUCGGAAUUACUGGGCGUAAAGCGUACGCAGGCGGUUUGUUAAGCGAGAUGUGAAAGCCCCGGGCUCAACCUGGGAACUGCAUUUCGAACUGGCAAACUAGAGUGUGAUAGAGGGUGGUAGAAUUUCAGGUGUAGCGGUGAAAUGCGUAGAGAUCUGAAGGAAUACCGAUGGCGAAGGCAGCCACCUGGGUCAACACUGACGCUCAUGUACGAAAGCGUGGGGAGCAAACGGGAUUAGAUACCCCGGUAGUCCACGCCGUAAACGAUGUCUACUAGAAGCUCGGAGCCUCGGUUCUGUUUUUCAAAGCUAACGCAUUAAGUAGAC